CUCCGCCGCCUCCACCGGGCACCCGCCCAGCGCGGCCGGGAGGGAGGGCGGGCGGUGCGCGCUCCCGGGAGCCUCGCGGUGCGCGCUCUCGCGCGCGGGCAACGCCCUUCGGCCCCUUACGCUGGCGGCGGCCGCGCGCUUCCCUCCUCCCGCCCGCGGUCCCGCGCGCUCCCUCCCCUCAGCGAACAAAGGGCGAGGGCGGGCGGUGUACGGGGGGGUCGCGGUCGCCUCGCCGGCCCUGCAGGCCAAAAACAAGUCUGAAAGAGCCGGAUGGGAGCAGAAAGACACGAAACUGAACCCACAAAUGGUGUUUAAGCUCAGGGCUGGGAGAGGCAGAGCCCCCUCACCAUGUCAAAUGGGAGCGCUCCGGGCUGCGGAGUGUGAAAGGGCGGGAGAGAGGCCACAGGCCUUAAAAUGCUGCUCACAAGAGGCUGGCAAGCAAUAAAUACCUUCAUAUCAUCGUGUGAGGAGAGACUGCGGGAGCUGGGCCUGGCGGGACCUCAGGCAAACCAGGCAGGAGAGAUGUUACCAAAAUGGAAUCAUUUCACACCAGAACUCGCAUACUGAAACCCUAAUUAAUAUUGAAAAGUCUUGUGCUCUGCCACGUCUUCAAAUCCAUGGAAUUUGGGUAAGGAAUCUGGAUCAGUCAGGAGUGUUUAUAGCACAUUUACACACAGCUAAUGCUUUCAGCACACCUAAAAAUACAACUGUUGCAAUAGUUCCUGUUUCUGAUCCUGUGAUUUAAUUAUAUCUUAUUCUCCAGUGAGAAAUUUGAUUGAUGUACAGUUCCACUGCUAUUAUGGGGAGGGAUCCUGAGGAUUGGAAAUGGUUGUUUACAGAGGGGAGGUUGUUCCAGGUGGGGUGGGUUUGGUUUGUAAAUCUCACUGGACAAAUCAGUUUUGCUGCAUUUUAAAACCUGUCAGAAGAAUCCCACCUUGCUGUGUGCAACAGGGUGGUUUAUUCUGCUGUCCCGUGCUGGAAGCUACUGCACAGGCAUUACCUUUAUUUUUAAAAUUUCUUUUUCAUUUUUAAUCUUAAUUUUUUUUGUAUGGGCACACAGAUCCAUAAACUGCCCUAGUUUUUAGUGUUCAGUGGACGAGUGUGCAAAUCACCAGAAGUAAGUGGAUUUAUCAGAUAUAAGUUUAUCUGUUUCUACACACUGCAAAAAUAUUGUUUGUAACUAAACUAACUGGCUGAAAAUACCGUAAAUACCUGAAGAACUGGUAUAGAUAAUUAAUAAAACCAAUUUUUAUGGUUUUUUGUUAGUCCACCUUGAAGUUACAGUUUUCCUCUUGGGUUAGAGCCACAGAAAACCUCUCUGUAAAAAGGUUGCUCCAUAGUUCUCCAUUGCAAAACUUCUUGCACCUUUUUCUCAAUCAGCUGACAUUAACCCCUUCGUAGGGAACAUCCUGAGUUUAGAUGAAACUUCGGGCAGUUUCACUUCAUAAAGUAAUUAAUUUUUGCAUACCGCUAACAUUGUUAUAAUCAAAAUUUACAUAUUGGUAUCUGAGUGAAAAUACUGCACAGUUUUUAAGGUAAAUCAAGAUGCUCCUGGUCUCUGUAAGAAUAACUGUCACCAUACAGGUAUAAUUUAUGCUUUCUGAAAAAGGGUGAAAAAUCAGCACUUCUCAAGAUUCCAUAGCUCCUCGGAUGGUAUAAGAAUACUGCUGAAAUAAUAAAUAAUUAUGGUUUGCCUCCUUUCUUUGUAACCUCAGAUAAGUGUUUUAAAUAGACUGACUCAAAACUCCACCUCAUA